ACAGAUUCAUCGUUGAAAGAAGGAAGGGGAAAAAGGAAGAACAAAAGACCAAAUAAAAGGCAGAGAAGAACCACAGUCUCUGGAACUCUCAUCUUUGCUGUUUUUCCCUUUUCGUUUU
rnacentral:ribozyme from 13 species